rnacentral:rRNA from 1 species
UCGGGAAUUUUGGGCAAUGGGCGAAAGCCUGACCCAGCAACGCCGCGUGAAGGAUGAAGUAUUUCGGUAUGUAAACUUCGAAAGAAUAGGAAGAAUAAAUGACGGUACUAUUUAUAAGGUCCGGCUAACUACGUGCCAGCAGCCGCGGUAAUACGUAGGGACCAAGCGUUGUUCGGAUUUACUGGGCGUAAAGGGCGCGUAGGCGGCAAUUCAAGUCAUCUGUGAAAUCUCCGGGCUUAACUCGGAACGGUCAGAUGAUACUGCUUUGCUAGAGUGCAGAAGGGGCAAUCGGAAUUCUUGGUGUAGCGGUGAAAUGCGUAGAUAUCAAGAGGAACACCUGAGGUGAAGACGGGUUGCCGGGCUGACACUGACGCUGAGGCGCGAAAGCCAGGGGAGCAAACGGGAUUAGAUACCCCAGUAGUCCCUGAGCGGGCUGGCAAGGCGCAU